ACGGCUGGUGGCGCGCGUCCUGUUAUCGGGCAGCGUAAUCGCGUUUUGCACUCAGCAUACAGAUACCCGGCCCGCCAAUGAGCGGGCUUUUUAUU
rnacentral:sRNA from 1 species